rnacentral:misc_RNA from 1 species
AUAACGACGCGUUGAUCGAUAAAGCGUUGGCUCAUCUUACUUAAAAAUAUAGAGCUCGUAUCAAUUAACAAAGAGUCUCAAAUGUUGCAUCCGGCGAGAAAUAUCCUUUGCAAGAUCUGAAUUCCACCGCUCGUGAGUCCAGUUCACACACGCUUAAAGUUCUGACUGGAAGGUGGAAGUGCCAAUGUUUUCUUCGGAGAAAAGUCCAAAAAUGGUUCCGCCGGACAAAUGUCAUUCGCAAUCCCCUGGAAAGGUGGAGCUGGACAGUUGUGGCCUUGGCGGGAGUAGCGGGAGCUGUUGUAGUGACCGUACCUGCUGGUUUAGUUCUUCUGUACAGGAAAUUGAUGGGCGACGAACGGCAUUCGCUGGCCGUGGCAGUUGGUGGCCUGGGGUCAUUUACAGUGGCUACCCCUAGUGCCUUUGUAGCAUUAACAGCCGUCGUCAUGGUGUGUGGAGCCGUAAUCGUAAUUGCAGUGGAGCAUAUCAGGUCGAAGAAGUGAUUUAAUAAAGUUGAUUGGUGGACAGUACAUUUAGAGAAGCAGCAAUGUAGAGAACAAUGUGUUGAGCUGUCUUCGUAGUUAAUUUAGGAUUUCCUCACAGUAAACUGUAGCACUUUGUUAUUCUGUAAAAGGGUUUUAAAGUGCCUAGUAACAUACUGAAUCAAGAAUAUCUCUAGAAAUAUUGGAGCGGUGUACAGAAAUGACUAACGGCCUUUUAGUAAAGCUUGCAAAUCACGGCACUAUUCAGCCAUAUUAUAUAAGAAUACAAAUGCUAAGCCCAUCAGAUUGCAGCACUUGCAUUAAUCUACACUUAAAAUUCAAUAAACAAUAUCAGUACUAUU